UCUGACCGUGUUGACUAAUGAAUAUUUGCCCUUGCUGCAUGAUCGUGUAGUCUCAUCCAUAUGAAGGGAUGGCGCAGAGUCAACGGAAAGCAGAGAUUUGCCAAGGAAAUGGGAAACUGGAGACGAUUGCCGUUCGUCCUCCAUAGAGGAGCUGAUGAUGUGGCCAGACGCAUUGAAAGAACUAUGUCAGUGAAGUGUCCAGGCUGAUGUGUGGCAGAUAACAUCACUGACACUAGUGAAAGCAUGCGGCUGCCCUGCUUUUCAGUGAGAUGGAGAUCUUCUGAUACAUGGACUGGCUGAGUACAUGUUUGCAGCUACGGGGCCUGAGUAACAUGGAUCUCCCAAGAUAGCUCCACAUACAUUGAAGUCUUGUCACAUAUAUUCAAGAUAAGGAGUAUGUGAAAUAUGCCAAGAUUAUACUGUGGCUGACUGCAAUUCGUAGAUCAUUGGUCUCCAGUAAACCCAGCUAGCAUCCUGCAGAUAUCAAGAGAAUCCUGAUCCUCACAGCAUGCUGCUGCUGCUGAAUGUCAUCUUGGGUAACAUCAAUGGAUUAUUCCACAUUAUACACUGUUUUUCGUAUUCUGCAUAAUACAAUGACAACUAUGUUUAUUAUCGUAUUUUGUCCUUAACAACUUUAAUCAGUGCUGUACAAGAGUUUGAUAGAAAAAAUAAUGAAUAUAGUUAACUACCUUGCUUGGUUAGGACCCGAACCCACGACUUGCUUAUUUGUGCAGGUAUUAACUGCUCAACGGCUGAGCUUAGCUGAUUUAGAAUCUUAUAAAGCAGUGGUUAUUGCAUGAUAAUAUGUUACAUCGACCUAAAUUACCCAAUUCAAAUCAUAAAUUGUUUGACAAUUCUUAAAUACUAUACCAAAACACGUUUUAGGGAGUUUUCUCCUGUGAAUUUAAUUGAAGGGUAAUAUAUUCUUAUUUUUUGGUGUUUUUUUGGUCACAAUCAACACUGUUAAUUGCUUCACUGAAUGAAAUACGCACUAUUUUUUUU